rnacentral:rRNA from 1 species
AGUGAACGCUGGCGGUAGGCCUAACACAUGCAAGUCGAACGGCAGCACAGUAAGAGCUUGCUCUUACGGGUGGCGAGUGGCGGACGGGUGAGGAAUACAUCGGAAUCUACUUUUUCGUGGGGGAUAACGUAGGGAAACUUACGCUAAUACCGCAUACGACCUACGGGUGAAAGCAGGGGAUCUUCGGACCUUGCGCGAUUGAAUGAGCGGAUGUCGGAUUAGCUAGUUGGCGGGGUAAAGGCCCACCAAGGCGACGAUCCGUAGCUGGUCUGAGAGGAUGAUAGGCCACACUGGAACUGAGACACGGUCCAGACUCCUACGGGAGGCAGCAGUGGGGAAUAUUGGACAAUGGGCGCAAGCCUGAUCCAGCCAUACCGCGUGGGUGAAGAAGGCCUUCGGGUUGUAAAGCCCUUUUGUUGGGAAAGAAAAGCAGCAGGUUAAUACCCAGCUGUUCUGACGGUACCCAAAGAAUAAGCACCGGCUAACUUCGUG